rnacentral:rRNA from 1 species
GACGAACGCUGGCGGCGUGCUUAACACAUGCAAGUCGAACGGAAAGGCCCUGCUUUUGUGGGGUGCUCGAGUGGCGAACGGGUGAGUAGCACGUGAGUAACCUGCCCUUGACUUUGGGAUAACUUCAGGAAACUGGGGCUAAUACCGGAUAGGAGCUCCUGCUGCAUGGUGGGGGUUGGAAAGUUUCGGCGGUUGGGGAUGGACUCGCGGCUUAUCAGCUUGUUGGUGGGGUAGUGGCUUACCAAGGCUUUGACGGGUAGCCGGCCUGAGAGGGUGACCGGCCACAUUGGGACUGAGAUACGGCGCAGACUCCUACGGGAGGCAGCAGUGGGGAAUAUUGCACAAUGGGCGGACGCCUGAUGCAGCAACGCCGCGUGCGGGAUGACGGCCUUCGGGUUGUAAACCGCUUUCGCAUGUGACGAAGCGUGAGUGACGGUAAUGGGUAAAGAAGCACCGGCUAACUACGUG